CGGCGCAGCUGUCGGGAGGGCG
rnacentral:miRNA from 1 species